rnacentral:rRNA from 1 species
UGGGGAAGUUUUCCGCAUUGGGCGAAAGCCUGACGGAGCAAUGCCGCGUGGAGGUGGAAGGCCUACGGGUCGUCAACUUCUUUUCUCGGAGAAGAAACAAUGACGGUAUCUGAGGAAUAAGCAUCGGCUAACUCUGUGCCAU